GAUACCCAACAAAGAGGAGGGCCAAUCGGUUUGAAGCUUAGUCCACACCACGGUGCCCAUCGAGCCUGUUAACUCGUAACGGAAUAAAACAACGAAAACAACUCAUUUUCUAACUGAUUUUUCACUUAAUUAAUUAAAUAUUGAUGAAUAAAAUUGAUUAAAACACUGUUAAAAUUGGUUUAUUGUUCGAAUGUUGCGGUUUUUUUUCACGAAUAUUUGCAGAGGGAGCCGUUCGUAAAGAUUGAUGAAAAGUGUGAUCGUCGUCUCCGAGGCAAAAUUUAUUGUGAAUGUGUGUACGUGGACUACGGAUUUUGAUUGAUUGCCGAAGAUACGUUUCGACGUUUUUGAACGCGAGAUGCUCCAUCGACUCGUCUCGAGCCCGAGGUCGCUGACCUACCGUUUGGGGUAAUGCGGGUCAGCGUUUUACCUGCAGCGGGUGUUUUCAUUUUUUUUCUCUUUCGAUCGGACACCGAGAAUAGACUAUAAAAAUGUUCUCUUCGAAUACAGAUUCAAAUGAACCUACAGAAUUUCAGUAUCGACGACGACUUUGAACAGGGCGAGGUGAGCGGGAGUCUCGCGCGAUAAAAAACUGUCACACACGUGCCCGAUCGGAAUUCGAGUGCGAAAUCCGAGUCCGGAAAAUCGUGGCGUUCGAUCAAUUCUCACGAACAAUCGAUUAUUGUUUUUCUUCG